rnacentral:lncRNA from 1 species
GGCUGCUCUUCCACCACCGGUCUUCACCAUGAGCUGCUCUGACGAUGGUAAGCCUUUCCCCUCUCCAUAUUCUUCCUUCUCCCCCAUCUCUCACUCUAGAUGCUUGUUGUAAUUGUGAUGUUCCUCUCCUAUUGGUUUUCGGUGCUCUCCUCCCCCAUCUUUUCUCGGUGCUUGUUGUGAUUGAUCUCCCUUUCUGCUUUUGUAGAUGUGGACCGAUGAAAGCCCUAGUUUGGUUUUGGAUAAUUGAUGAAACCCUAGUACUAACCCCUAUACUAAGUGUGUGUAGACUUAAUGAGGUUGGUACAUGCCAAGUGAUGGAGCAAGA